GGAUCAUUAUCGAAUAACUUGAGGGGAAAGGGGGAAGAGGAAUGGACUGUCGCUGGCUUUGGCUUUGGCUUUGACUUUCCGAUAAGCAGCAAAGCAUGUGCACGUUCCCCUCGAUCUCUUUCAUCCUUUCAAUACACCUGUGCACCCACCGUAGGUCCUCGAAAGAGGAUCUAUGAUUUUACUACAUAUCACACCCAUCGUAUGUCCAGAAUGUCUGAAUCACCUAGUCGAAAGACGAAGUGAAACAAAUAAAUGUACAACUUUCAGCAACGGAUCUCUUGGUUCUCGCAUCGAUGAAGAACGCAGCGAAUUGCGAUAAGUAAUGUGAAUUGCAGAUUUCCAGUGAAUCAUCGAAUCUUUGAACGCACCUUGCGCUCCUUGGUAUUCCGAGGAGCAUGCCUGUUUGAGUGUCAUUGAAUUAUCAAUCAAGUCUUGAUCCUAUUUCAAGGCUUGACUUGGACUUUGGGGGUUGUUGGCUUCGAAAGAGAAGUUAGCUCUCCUGAAAUGCAUUAGCAAACACCAGUGAGUCUUUUCGAUGAGCGUGCACGGCCUAUCGACGUGAUAAUGAUCGUUGGGGCUGGAAGCGUAGCAAAAGAAUGGAACUUGGUUUGCUUCCAACCAAUAAAUAAAUAAAUCACUGAGGGAAAAGGAGGGGCGGGUGGGUGAAGAGAAGCCAAAGCCCAAGUUAGCUACUAGUCAGCCUGAUCAUAAGGCUGGCGAACGCGGCUCCGAGCGGAUCUUUCUUCUCUAACUCUUCUAAUGGUCUCAAUGUCUGGGUGAAAGGUAUCGAAAGGGGAGUCAGGACAAGUUAGCUACUAGUCAGUCAUAAGGCUGGCGAACACAGCUUGGAUCCACACACUCUUUGAUUCCUACAGCUCAAGCUCAGAUCAGAUCCCCUUGACUUGACUCUUUGAAAGUGGUUUGUUUGUUUGUUUCUACUUUCUUGACCUCAAAUCAGGUAGGACUACCCGCUGAACUUAAGCAUAUCAAUAAGCGGAGGAAAAGAAACUAACAAGGAUUCCCCUAGUAACUGCGAGUGAAGCGGGAACAGCUCAAAUUU
rnacentral:rRNA from 1 species